AUGAGUAAUAGAGGAAACGUGUCUUGUUUAGAAAAAAUAGGGGAAAAGAAAAAGGAAUUAAGUUUUUGAAAACAGAUCCAAAAAAAUUCCAUCCUUCACUUCUUUCUUUCGUUAUCAUUCUCUUUGCGCAUACUCCCUCCGAUCAGCCACCACAAAUAUUCCGGCUACUCCACCGUGAAACAUGUAAUGCAUACCACCAAUCCAAGCUUUCAAUCCCCCUAGUUUUUCUCAAUUUUUGGAGCUGAGGUUGCAAACCCUUCUCCACUUAGCUUUGCAAAUUAGUUGAAAUUAGAGGUGAACCGAGUGCAAACACAAGCGAUAGGGGAAAGGGGCAUAUCCAUGGUUGACUAAGAAAGUAAUAGCGUUUUUCUGACAUGUACAGGUUUUAUUUUGUCGCUUGGAAUGUGUUGGAAAUGAGUGUUGAUAUGAGAUACAUGAUAUGAUGGGAGAAAAGAUAUGUGACGUCAAGUGUGAUUGGAUGGAAGUGAUGUGUGAUACAUGGUAUGAUGGGAUGAAGUAUAUGCGAUGUGAUGUGUGAUGGGAGGAAAUACUAAGAUAUGGUAUGAUAUGAGGAGUUGAUCAAUCCCCUUUUGGGUGCAUGUGUGUAACAAAUAUACCUAUAUUUAUAGUUAAGCGCACUUGGGGUAAGUGAGUGCAUAUAUGUGAUAAUUUCUAUUAUACUGUACUUUGGUAAGAUGUAUAUGAUAAUAUUUGCAUUACUAUAUAUGGUAAAAUAUUGUGUUGAUAAUUGACA